rnacentral:miRNA from 14 species
AUGUACGUAUAUAUGUAAUGUGAAUGUUUAUGUGUGUAUAUGUGUAUAUGUACACACACACACACACACACACACACACACACACACACACACAC